UGAGAGGCAUCUCUUAAAUAUCAAAGGUGAGCCAGUACAGGAUGGACCCGCGUCUGAUUAGCUAGUUGGUAAGGUAACGGCUUACCAAGGCGACGAUCAGUAGCCGACCUGAGAGGGUGAUCGGCCACAUUGGAACUGAGACACGGUCCAAACUCCUACGGGAGGCAGCAGUGGGGAAUAUUGCACAAUGGGCGAAAGCCUGAUGCAGCAACGCCGCGUGAGUGAUGAAGGCCUUCGGGUCGUAAAACUCUGUCCUCAAGGAAGAUAAUGACGGUACUUGAGGAGGAAGCCCCGGCUAACUACGUGCCAGCAGCCGCGGUAAUACGUAGGGGGCUAGCGUUAUCCGGAUUUACUGGGCGUAAAGGGUGCGUAGGCGGUCUUUCAAGUCAGGAGUGAAAGGCUACGGCUCAACCGUAGUAAGCUCUUGAAACUGGGAGACUUGAGUGCAGGAGAGGAGAGUGGAAUUCCUAGUGUAGCGGUGAAAUGCGUAGAUAUUAGGAGGAACACCAGUUGCGAAGGCGGCUCUCUGGACUGUAACUGACGCUGAGGCACGAAAGCGUGGGGAGCAAACAGGAUUAGAUACCCUGGUAGUCCACGCUGUAAACGAUGAAUACUAGGUGUCGGGGGUUACCCCCUUCGGUGCCGCAGC
rnacentral:rRNA from 1 species